AUUGAACGCUGGCGGCAGGCCUAACACAUGCAAGUCGAACGGUAACAGGAAACAGCUUGCUGUUUCGCUGACGAGUGGCGGACGGGUGAGUAAUGUCUGGGAAACUGCCUGAUGGAGGGGGAUAACCACUGGAAACGGUAGCUAAUACCGCAUAACGUCGCAAGACCAAAGAGGGGGACCUUCGGGCCUCUUGCCAUCGGAUGUGCCCAGAUGGGAUUAGCUAGUAGGUGGGGUAACGGCUCACCUAGGCGACGAUCCCUAGCUGGUCUGAGAGGAUGACCAGCCACACUGGAACUGAGACACGGUCCAGGCUCCUACGGGAGGCAGCAGUGGGGAAUAUUGCACAAUGGGCGCAAGCCUGAUGCAGCCAUGCCGCGUGUAUGAAGAAGGCCUUCGGGUUGUAAAGUACUUUCAGCGGGGAUGAAGGGAGUAAAGUUAAUACCUUUGCUCAUUGACGUUACCCGCAGAAGAAGCACCGGCUAACUCCGUG
rnacentral:rRNA from 1 species